rnacentral:rRNA from 1 species
UACGGGGGGGGCAAGCGUUGUUCGGAAUUACUGGGCGUAAAGGGCUCGUAGGUGGCCAACUAAGUCAGACGUGAAAUCCCUCGGCUUAACCGGGGAACUGCGUCUGAUACUGGAUGGCUUGAGUUCGGGAGAGGGAUGCGGAAUUCCAGGUGUAGCGGUGAAAUGCGUAGAUAUCCGGAGGAACACCAAAGGCGAAGGCAGUGUCCUGGGGAGUACCUGACGCUCAGGUGCGAAAGCCAGGGGAGCGAACGGG